CCUACGGGAGGCAGCAGUGGGGGAUAUUGCACAAUGGAGGAAACUCUGAUGCAGCGACGCCGCGUGAGGGAAGACGGUCUUCGGAUUGUAAACCUCUGUCUUUGGGGAAGAAAAUGACGGUACCCAAAGAGGAAGCUCCGGCUAACUACGUGCCAGCAGCCGCGGUAAUACGUAGGGAGCGAGCGUUGUCCGGAAUUACUGGGUGUAAAGGGAGCGUAGGCGGGCGAGAAAGUUGAAUGUUAAAUCUACCGGCUUAACUGGUAGCUGCGUUCAAAACUUCUUGUCUUGAGUGAAGUAGAGGCAGGCGGAAUUCCUAGUGUAGCGGUGAAAUGCGUAGAUAUUAGGAGGAACUCCGAUUGCGAAGGCAGCAUACCGGCGCCCGACUGACGCUGAGGCACGAAAGCGUGGGUAUCGAACAGGAUUAGAUACCCUGGUAGUC
rnacentral:rRNA from 1 species